GACGAACGCUGGCGGCGUGCUUAACACAUGCAAGUCGAACGAAGAGCGAUGGAAGCUUGCUUCUAUCAAUCUUAGUGGCGAACGGGUGAGUAACGCGGAAUCAACCUGCCCUUCAGAGGGGGACAACAGUUGGAAACGACUGCUAAUACCGCAUACGAUCUAAUCUCGGCAUCGAGGAAAGAUGAAAGGUGGCCUCUAUUUAUAAGCUAUCACUGAAGGAGGGGUUUGCGUCUGAUUAGCUAGUUGGAGAGGUAACGGCCCACCAAGGCGAUGAUCAGUAGCCGGUCUGAGAGGAUGAACGGCCACAUUGGGACUGAGACACGGCCCAGACCUCUACGGGAGGCAGCAGUGGGGAAUCCUCCGCAAUGGACGAAAGUCUGACGGAGCAACGCCGCGUGAGUGAUGACGGCCUUCGGGUUGUAAAGCUCUGUUAAUCGGGACGAAAGGCCUUCUUGCGAACAGUUAGAAGGAUUGACGGUACCGGAAUAGAAAGCCACGGCUAACUACGUG
rnacentral:rRNA from 1 species